AGUGAACGCUGGCGGUAGGCCUAACACAUGCAAGUCGAACGGCAGCACAGUAAGAGCUUGCUCUUACGGGUGGCGAGUGGCGGACGGGUGAGGAAUACAUCGGAAUCUACUUUUUCGUGGGGGAUAACGUAGGGAAACUUACGCUAAUACCGCAUACGACCUACGGGUGAAAGCAGGGGAUCUUCGGACCUUGCGCGAUUGAAUGAGCCGAUGUCGGAUUAGCUAGUUGGCGGGGUAAAGGCCCACCAAGGCGACGAUCAGUAGCUGGUCUGAGAGGAUGAUCAGCCACACUGGAACUGAGACACGGUCCAGACUCCUACGGGAGGCAGCAGUGGGGAAUAUUGGACAAUGGGCGCAAGCCUGAUCCAGCCAUACCGCGUGGGUGAAGAAGGCCUUCGGGUUGUAAAGCCCUUUUGUUAGGAAAGAAAAGCAGCAGGUUAAUACCCCGCUGUUCUGACGGUACCCAAAGAAUAAGCACCGGCUAACUUCGUG
rnacentral:rRNA from 1 species